UUGGUUAGUUCAAGCAGUGUUCUCAAGAAACAUGAUAUUGAGUUGUUAAGACAUGAAUGGGUGCAGUUGGAUUUCUCUGAGACAAAUUGAAUGACUUUUUAGAGCCAUCCAUUCAAUAGAUUACCAUUGAAUAAAAUGCAGAAUACUAGCAAAGGGGUACAUUUGUACAUUACUACAUAUUGAGCUCAGUUUUAAAGUAAAUUUAGGAUCCUAUAUAAGGUAUGCUGGGAUGCUAAUAAUGUAUAUUUGCCCUGACAACAUUUAUCAGAGAUUUGAGGCCUAAAGUGUGGAAAAAGUCUGGAUUCAGUUGGUUGACUGAUGAGAGGCAAAAUCUUUUUCAGAAAUAUAGCUACUCAUGCAAGUUUUUUCUCCUUCCUAUUGUGCCAUUUAGAGAGAUGCAAUGAUAACUAAAAGAUCAAGUAUUUGUGAUGACAAAGGAGCUAUAAAUGUGUCCACUCAAGGUUCAAUUAUUUCACCUGAACAUUCACCUACCAAAAAACAUCCCAGAACUUCACAUUCACUUGUGGAUCAAAAAGAAGAGGAAAUAAAUGGAAGGCUGCCCAAGUCAAGACCAAGCUACCACAAUGAAUCAGGACCUCAAACUCAUGCUGCAGCCCCUAUUGUCUCAAAUAUGCAACAGAAUCUUCUACAAAAUUGUGUGCCAGCGAAAGUACGUAUCCUAAAAUCCACUGAUAAAGCAGCAUAUUAAUUACACUUUUUAUACUGUUAUAGUAGAAAAACAGUUGUAAACCGGACACCUGAGAGUCAUGCACUGAAAUUUGCCAGUCCUUUGCCUUUUAUCCUCUUGAUGUUUACUUUCAGUUUAGUCUCCUAUUUCGUUAUGGUCUAAAGUUGCUAUUAAAAGGUAGUUGGUGCCCUAGCGUAAAGAGUCUAGAUAGAUCCGUCAGGAAACAAAAGGAGCAGUGUGGAGCUGCAUUUUGGACACAUUUCCUACACACACCCACUAAAUCCAUGGAGCAGUCAACACACACAAAGCUUUCAAUUCAAGGGAAACUUCUCAGUUUAAUAUCAUAAUGAGAAACUUUGAAAAAUGUAAUUCCAUUUACCUUGUUUCACUACAUCCAAAACUAUGUUGUAGUUGAUUUGCAACCAUGGAUUUCUCUGUUAAAAUUUAGCUUUUAUUAUUGGAUAUACUGAGAAAUACUGAUUUAUGGCACAUUAAUGUAAGAUUAGUGUUUUAUAAAGUAAUCUGUCACCCCAAAAUAUUUUCAAACCACUAGCCACUGUCUGUAACAUUAAUGAAAAAAAUCUAGUAGGAAUUUCAGAGACUAGAGCCAAACAAAAUGGCGUUUCUUGUGUUAAUACCCCCAAACUCGCUACAUAGGGGUUUACCUUUGAUUUUAACCCAAAACAUGAAUAAUUUCAGACUAAUUUAGACAAUACUAUGGGUGGGAACAGCCCCAUUUGCAUAAUCUUAUAGUGUCCUGCUCACAUGCUAGCUUUCCAACUCUGUUGCCAUUAUUUGUGUUUGAAGCAUAUAUGUUUUAAGAAUUAUAAUAAUUUACAAACAGACUACUGGUGUAUUAUAAAUAAGAUGGCAUAUGCAAGCCCAGGUAUGUAUGCAGUCAGUAACUAUAUGUUUUUGAAUCCCAUAGGUGCAUUCUCUCCCUAUGCCUCAUCCUGUGUACAUCAAUUCCAAGCACACUGACCACGAAGGAGAUUAUUAUACAAAUCUGGUUUCUGGCCCUUUGCUUAUGGUUCAAACCGGGCACCACUCUAACUUUUCCACCCCAGCUAAACUUUGGCUCUUUGCAAACCGGUUCUAGCUUGCUCCUUAUUUUCCAUCUCCAUUAAUUUCAUCCUCCAUAAGAUCGUCUCUUAUUCUUCUUUCUGAUGUUGAACAGGUUGCACUGCUCUUCCUGAUGGGUGCAAAGCCCGUACCCUCUCUAACAAGUGGUUCUCAGUACACGCACAGAUCAGACUCGCCCUUGCAGUAGCGAAUAUGGAUGAGGAGGCUUAUUUUCCAUCUUCCUGUCCACGCUCAGAUAGACGCCUCUGAAAACACACAGAUUCCGAGCACCCCUGUUAGAGAUACUUUGGUGUGCCUUAAUAAUAAUUUGGUGUGUAUGACUAUCACAUUCUUUGCCGAGAUAUUUGCCUGACGUGUGCCAAGAUGGUAACUUGGUGUUUUCGCCUCCUUUUUUUUUACCAAAAGCUCAUUUAUCUCAGCAAUGAACUAGAAAAAUUAAAUAAAAACUUCUGAAAGAAUGUGACUGAGUAAAAAUUAUAUACAUAAGUAUUUCUAUGUAGUGCGAAAUAAAAACAAUUUAAAAUUCUUCUACAGUUGUAAAUAGAUUGUGUUGUGCCCAGAUUGUAAGGUCCCAAAGACCACCAGGAGGCCGUUUCCGAUGUAAGCACAUGAGGGUCGUUUAUUCAAGCUUAAGCAGGGACUCUCAGUUGUCACCAACACAGCGGAUCGAGAUUGAGAGAACCGAGUUCCAAAUUAGCGGGGUUUUUAUAGAGGUUACAGCAAGGUUUGGAGAUUUUCCACUUAGCAGUUACAUGAUUGGUUAACAUUUAGCGAGCAUGAAGUGUACAUUUUUGAUUGGCUGAACUCAUCAGGGGUAAGGGGAUUAUGUAUAUGUUUUACAAAACAAAAGAAGGACAAAUGUUAGUGGGCAACUGUCACGCAUUGAUGGUCAGCAGACACGGUGACUAAUGGUCACAACCACUCAGCACUGUCAGCACAUUGACAGAUGGUUCUUACAGAUAGUGGGCCCAGGAUGUUCAUUUCCUGGGUAAAUGGAUGGCUGAUUAAUUAACUUAGGGACUUUGGUUUGUUACAGAUUGUAUCUUUUGUUCCAGAGCAAACAUAUUUUAACCAUUAAUUUGAGAGGCUAGGGGAAUGGUGGAUUUUAGCAAAAUAGAGUCGCUUUGGUCUCACAAUUGUAAUAUUUUUUCUUCAUAAACUAUGUUAUUCCAGCUAUGCACUGUUUCCUAUAAAAAUUAAAUAUUACUGUCAGUCCACGAAAUAUAAAGGAUAGCAUUACAUAAUUGUUUUCAUCCCUGUCUCCUUUCCAGGUAAUUUCUGAUGAACUAAAUAGCACAACUCAGAAUGUAACGACUUGCAUAGGGGCUACCAUGACUAGUAUACU
rnacentral:lncRNA from 1 species